rnacentral:rRNA from 1 species
GCUCAGAAACUUAAAGGAAUUGACGGGGGCCCGCACAAGCGGUGGAGUAUGUGGUUUAAUUCGAUGCAACGCGAAGAACCUUACCUGGUCUUGACAUCCCGGAGACCCUUAGGAAACUAGGGGGUGCUUCCAUCUGGAAGAAUCUGGAGACAGGUGCUGCAUGGCUGUCGUCAGCUCGUGUCGUGAGAUGUUGGGUUAAGUCCCGCAACGAGUGCAACCCCUAUUGCCAGUUGCUACCAGGUAAUGCUGGGCACUCUGGUGAGACUGCCCCGGUUAACGGGGAGGAAGGUGGGGACGACGUCAAGUCAUCAUGGCCCUUACGCCUAGGGCUACACACGUACUACAAUGGCGCAUACAAAGGGCAGCGAUACCGCGAGGUGGAGCCAAUCCCAAAAAGUGCGUCCCAGUCCGGAUUGCAGUCUGCAACUCGACUGCAUGAAGUUGGAAUCGCUAGUAAUUCGAGAUCAGCAUGCUCGGGUGAAUGCGUUCCCGGGCCUU